rnacentral:rRNA from 1 species
CACGAACGCUGGCGGCAGGCUUAACACAUGCAAGUCGAGCGCCCCGCAAGGGGAGCGGCAGACGGGUGAGUAACGCGUGGGAAUCUACCGUGCCCUGCGGAAUAGCUCCGGGAAACUGGAAUUAAUACCGCAUACGCCCUACGGGGGAAAGAUUUAUCGGGGUAUGAUGAGCCCGCGUUGGAUUAGCUAGUUGGUGGGGUAAAGGCCUACCAAGGCGACGAUCCAUAGCUGGUCUGAGAGGAUGAUCAGCCACAUUGGGACUGAGACACGGCCCAAACUCCUACGGGAGGCAGCAGUGGGGAAUAUUGGACAAUGGGCGCAAGCCUGAUCCAGCCAUGCCGCGUGAGUGAUGAAGGCCCUAGGGUUGUAAAGCUCUUUCAACGGUGAAGAUAAUGACGGUAACCGUAGAAGAAGCCCCGGCUAACUUCGUGCCAGCAGCCGCCGUAACAC